UGGGGAAUAUUGGACAAUGGGCGCAAGCCUGAUCCAGCCAUGCCGCGUGAGUGAUGAAGGCCCUAGGGUUGUAAAGCUCUUUUGUGCGGGAAGAUAAUGACGGUACCGCAAGAAUAAGCCCCGGCUAACUUCGUGCCAGCAGCCGCGGUAAUACGAAGGGGGCUAGCGUUGCUCGGAAUCACUGGGCGUAAAGGGUGCGUAGGCGGGUUCUUAAGUCAGAGGUGAAAGCCUGGAGCUCAACUCCAGAACUGCCUUUGAUACUGGGAAUCUUGAGUUCGGGAGAGGUGAGUGGAACUGCGAGUGUAGAGGUGAAAUUCGUAGAUAUUCGCAAGAACACCAGUGGCGAAGGCGGCUCACUGGCCCGAUACUGACGCUGAGGCACGAAAGCGUGGGGAGCAAACA
rnacentral:rRNA from 1 species